AUUGAACGCUGGCGGCAUGCUUUACACAUGCAAGUCGAACGGUAACAGGCCGCAAGGUGCUGACGAGUGGCGAACGGGUGAGUAAUGCAUCGGAACGUGCCCAGUCGUGGGGGAUAACGCAGCGAAAGCUGCGCUAAUACCGCAUACGAUCUAUGGAUGAAAGCGGGGGACCGUAAGGCCUCGCGCGAUUGGAGCGGCCGAUGUCAGAUUAGGUAGUUGGUGGGGUAAAGGCUCACCAAGCCAACGAUCUGUAGCUGGUCUGAGAGGACGACCAGCCACACUGGGACUGAGACACGGCCCAGACUCCUACGGGAGGCAGCAGUGGGGAAUUUUGGACAAUGGGCGCAAGCCUGGUCCAGCAAUGCCGCGUGCAGGAAGAAGGCCUUCGGGUUGUAAACUGCUUUUGUACGGAACGAAACGGCUCUGGUUAAUACCUGGGGCUAAUGACGGUACCGUAAGAAUAAGCACCGGCUAACUACGUGCCAGCAGCCGCCGUAAUAC
rnacentral:rRNA from 1 species